rnacentral:rRNA from 1 species
AACGUUACCAAUCUGUUGCCUCGGCGGGAUUCUCUUGCCCCGGGCGCGUCGCAGCCCCGGAUCCCAUGGCGCCCGCCGGAGGACCAACUCCAAACUCUUUUUUUCUCUCCGUCGCGGCUCCCGUCGCGGCUCUGUUUUAUUUUUGCUCUGAGCCUUUCUCGGCGACCCUAGCGGGCGUCUCGAAAAUGAAUCAAAACUUUCAACAACGGAUCUCUUGGUUCUGGCAUCGAUGAAGAACGCAGCGAAAUGCGAUAAGUAAUGUGAAUUGCAGAAUUCAGUGAAUCAUCGAAUCUUUGAACGCACAUUGCGCCCGCCAGUAUUCUGGCGGGCAUGCCUGUCCGAGCGUCAUUUCAACCCUCGAACCCCUCCGGGGGGUCGGGUUGGGGGAUCGGCCCCUCACCGGGCCGCCCCCAGAAAUACAGUGGCGGUCUCGCCGCAGCCUCUCCUGCGCAGUAGUUUGCACACUCGCACCGGGAGCGCGGCGCGGCCACAGCCGUAAAACACCCCAAACUUCUGAAAUGUUGACCUCGGAUCAGGUAGGAAUACCCGCUGAACUUAAGCAUAUCAUAAACGGGAAAGAAAACUCCCAAACCCCAAUGUGAACGUU